UGGGGUAGUUUUGCUGAAAUGUUUGGCACACAUCUCUGGGGUAGUUUUGCUCAAACGUAUGCAUAUGGCUCAUAAUUACAUUAUGGAUUAGUGCGACUGUAACAUAUGUAACAAAUAUGGCACAUAGAGCUGGGUUAGUUUUGCUGAGGUGGAAGACAGGAACUCUCUCUCUCUCUCUUAUUCAGCAUCACAUGGGUUAUCGGGUUACAUUAAUGUGCCCAGCAUCAGUUUUAGGGGCGCUUCCAUUGAUUACUUAUCAGUUUUAGGGGCGCUCCCAUUGAUUACUUAUCAGUUUGUAAAAACAUCUCUCCAUCGGGACCGCUAAUCUGGUCCUUUCUGAGCCGCCUUCUCUCCAUCCCUCCAUCCCUCCUCUCUGUUCCACCCAGGAUUUUAGGUUUACAUCGAGAAUGCAUCCAGACUUUCUCUUUUGCCAAAUAUUUCAUCAACUUUCCUGAAGCACCUCUGUGCUGGUGACAUAUUCAGGAUGAACCUUCUGUAUUUCAAAGCCAAACUCGGAGGUAUCGCGUAAAAAAAAAGAAAGAAAAGAAAAACAGCAGCCAGUGUGGGUGUUAUGUAAAACCAGUUCACAGCAACAAAACAGUUUAUCAUGAAAAAUCAUCUCACCAGGAAAUACUGCUGAUCUGGCACAGGAGGUACUUCUCUUUGCUUUCCUCCGACUUGUCAAGAUAAAAUCCCUUCAAUAGCAGAGAGAGCCCGAGGAAGGAAGGAAAGUGAGAAAGCGGCAGCAACUCAUCCAGCGAGUGGCGAGGCAGAUACGGAGAGAUUAGGACCCGACCUCACAACUCAUCCACCCUCCACUCCCCUCCCUUCCCUUCCUCCCACACACACGCACACACACUCCCUCUUUUCAUAGGGAGGGGCUUAGGCGGGGCACACUCAGGCUCCCUCCUGAUGGUAGCGUCCGCAGCUCCCACCAACACCACCACCACCUACCCCCCUCUCAGUGCCGACAGAUGGAGGCAAGGGAGGGGUGCGUGUGUGUGUGUAUGUGUGUGUGUGGGUGUGUGUGUGUAUGA
ensembl:lncRNA